rnacentral:ncRNA from 1 species
CUGUAAAUAUGCGCGGGCAACCCGAAUGUAAUCAACCCGCAUAUUGGAGAAAGUAUUAUGGCACUGAGUGCAGAAGAAAAAGCAGCAAUCGUUUCUGAACAU